UUAGUUUGAUCCUGGCUCAGAUUGAACGCUGGCGGCAGGCCUAACACAUGCAAGUCGAGCGGAUGACGGGAGCUUGCUCCUUGAUUCAGCGGCGGACGGGUGAGUAAUGCCUAGGAAUCUGCCUGGUAGUGGGGGACAACGUUUCGAAAGGAACGCUAAUACCGCAUACGUCCUAAGGGAGAAAGCAGGGGACCUUCGGGCCUUGCGCUAUCAGAUGAGCCUAGGUCGGAUUAGCUAGUUGGUGGGGUAAUGGCUCACCAAGGCAACGAUCCGUAACUGGUCUGAGAGGAUGAUCAGUCACACUGGAACUGAGACACGGUCCAGACUCCUACGGGAGGCAGCAGUGGGAAAUAUUGGACAAUGGGCGAAAGCCUGAUCCAGCCAUGCCGCGUGUGUGAAGAAGGUCUUCGGAUUGUAAAGCACUUUAAGUUGGGAGGAAGGGCAGUAAGUUAAUACCUUGCUGUUUUGACGUUACCGACAGAAUAAGCACCGGCUAACUCUGUGCCAGCAGCCGCGGUAAUACAGAGGG
rnacentral:rRNA from 1 species